rnacentral:lncRNA from 1 species
GAAAACAAGAGUUGGAGUAAAUGGGGAAUUGCGGCCAACAUUCUUGUUAUUGUUGUUAUUGUACUGAUCAGGAGAAGGACAGAGGAGUAGCUCUGUAGCUUGAGCUUUCUCUUCAACAAUCAUGGUUUCCUUCAUUCCCAUACUUAUGGCUCAAUGAGAAUAAUGAAACAAACCCUCAAAAUUGCUACACUAAAUCACCGACAUGACACCCAGAACGAACGUCCAUUGGCAUUUAUGAUUGGUAGUAGCUAAAAUUUAUGACAGGGAAGAGGCCCAUCUAAUGCCUUAUAUUAAUCAAGGGGAGUCCAACAACAAAGCAUCCUCGUUCCAACACGAGGUAAACAGAGGAACACAACACAACGGUAAGAGCAACGACAGAAACAUCAAAACUCAGAAGACUACAAAUCUGCUGCCCAUCCUGGCGUUAAAGUUCCUUCUCUCGCAAGCUUGGCGAUUCGAUCAAAAAAAAGUAAGUCGCGCUCUUGGGCACAACUCCAUCCUGGAUGCAUGACAAGAGAGUCGAGGAUAAACGCAACCAGAGACGCCACCGCCCACUGCCACAUGUUUGGCGGUUGACUCAGGGCCUCCACAAGAACCUUGCAAUCCGACAGAAUAUUGAUCGAACCAACCAAAGUGGCGGCAAGCCUUACGGCAACUAGUAAAGCCUAGCCUUCCGCCACUAAAGGCUUCUAACAAACAAGGCGCUCUGCUCUCCCAUCGGAGUUGAACAUAAUCACUCCAUAGCCCGCCUCCUAGACGUCAUGCUUAAAUGACCCAUCACACAACAGAGUAAAAGAAAAUUUGUUUGGCAGUUGAGAUUCGAUAUGAUGAGAUACGAUUGGAGAGGGCGAAGGAGGACGGGAAGGCUUGGAAUACGCCGUCCACAUCCCAACUUCUUUCCUGAAGUAGAAGUCCAUCGCAUUAACAUCUGCAUCAAAACCCUUAAAAAUCCUUUCAUUUCGUGUCUUCCACAAUAUCUAGCAACCAAAAGCGGCUCUAAUAUGGGAACUUGCCUCUGCACCGUCUUUAAGCUCAAAGAACCAGACAUUAAAAUUCAUCACGUAAGUCGGUUAGAUCGGCGGAGGGAGAACCUUGGCCCAGAACUAACUUUGGACAGCGACGCGUAAGUUGGAGACCAGCAAGCCGCCCACAAUCCACACUCGAUGGUAAC